rnacentral:tRNA from 1 species
GCCGGGGUAGCCCAAUUGGCAGAGGCACAUGGCUUAGGACCAUGUAAGUGUGAGUUCGAAUCUCACUCCCGGUACUA